GGUUAGAAUCACAUGCCCCCUUCUACUUUAUUUGAGUUAGGCAGAGAUUGACAUUUAUUUGAGUUAGGCAGAGAUUGACAUUGGUAGUAAUAUGUGUAUUAUAAUAACACCGAGAAUAUUUUCUCUCGUAGAUUGUUUAAGUCCCUCCGGUAGAAAAAUGCUUCAACGAUAACAUAGUAGCUAGCUAAGCAUAUUAAUUUGUCACAACUAAUGCAUGCGAGCGUUAAGCAUAUUAAUUUGUGCGAGCGAGUUCUCGCGGAGCAGUUAAAUCUGGUAGUCGAUCACACCUAAUGCAUGCGAGCGUGAAGCCGAGCUCAGUUGGAGAUGCAAAACUGAGUGAUCAAUGAAAACCGAUCGACGCCAAGUGUGUCGGCGAGCCAUCGACUAAUAUUCCUAAUACGCCUCAAUCCCAAUCUCACUGCGAAGUCACUCAAGGUAUUCGCCAUCAUGUUUGCCUCUUG
rnacentral:lncRNA from 1 species